ensembl:processed_transcript growth arrest specific 5
AGGUACUGUUAGUGAUGACCAAUAAAGUUAAACAGAUGGGAAUCUCUCUGAAUAAGAUUGAAGAUUGAUUGUUAAGCUGAAACAGUAUUUAAGAACAUCAGUAAAUAUACAAAUACAUAUUUAUUUCUAAACGGAGUGUAAUUUCUUACAGAUAUUACGCAUGGGUCACCUCAAGUGAAGGCGCUGCAAGCACAAUGAUUGGUCAUUCUGAAUUUCCCGUCCUUCAUUCUGAAUUUCAAAGGCUCCUGUGACAAGUGGACAUGCAGUGACUGUACCUUUUGUACCUUUGUUUCUGAGGUGAGAACUGCAAAUGCUUAACCGUGAACCUACUCCAGAAUACAUGAUGAUCUUACACAACUUGAACUCUCUCACUGAUUACUUGAUGAUAGUAAAAGAUCUGAUGUUCUGUGUUUUAACAGUUACUAUUUAAGUUAAAAUUGUAGAAAUGUGUUUAACAGCUACCUUCUGUUGGUUAUUGCAGGUGCCUGGAUGGAGGCUCAAAUAGAAGAUGGUGUCAGAUAUAUUGUGUUGUCAAAAUUUUGCCAUUAAAGUGUAUUAUAACA